rnacentral:rRNA from 2 species
ACGCUGGCGGCAGGCCUAACACAUGCAAGUCGAACGGUAACAGGAAGCAGCUUGCUGCUUCGCUGACGAGUGGCGGACGGGUGAGUAAUGUCUGGGAAACUGCCUGAUGGAGGGGGAUAACUACUGGAAACGGUGGCUAAUACCGCAUAACGUCGCAAGACCAAAGAGGGGGACCUUCGGGCCUCUUGCCAUCAGAUGUGCCCAGAUGGGAUUAGCUAGUUGGUGAGGUAACGGCUCACCAAGGCGACGAUCCCUAGCUGGUCUGAGAGGAUGACCAGCCACACUGGAACUGAGACACGGUCCAGACUCCUACGGGAGGCAGCAGUGGGGAAUAUUGCACAAUGGGCGCAAGCCUGAUGCAGCCAUGCCGCGUGUAUGAAGAAGGCCUUCGGGUUGUAAAGUACUUUCAGCGGGGAGGAAGGUGUUGCGGUUAAUAACCGCAGCAAUUGACGUUACCCGCAGAAGAAGCACCGGCUAACUCCGUGCCAGCAGCCGCGGUAAUACGGAGGGUGCAAGCGUUAAUCGGAAUUACUGGGCGUAAAGCGCACGCAGGCGGUCUGUCAAGUCGGAUGUGAAAUCCCCGGGCUCAACCUGGGAACUGCAUUCGAAACUGGCAGGCUUGAGUCUUGUAGAGGGGGGUAGAAUUCCAGGUGUAGCGGUGAAAUGCGUAGAGAUCUGGAGGAAUACCGGUGGCGAAGGCGGCCCCCUGGACAAAGACUGACGCUCAGGUGCGAAAGCGUGGGGAGCAAACAGGAUUAGAUACCCUGGUAGUCCACGCCGUAAACGAUGUCUACUUGGAGGUUGUGCCCUUGAGGCGUGGCUUCCGGAGCUAACGCGUUAAGUAGACCGCCUGGGGAGUACGGCCGCAAGGUUAAAACUCAAAUGAAUUGACGGGGGCCCGCACAAGCGGUGGAGCAUGUGGUUUAAUUCGAUGCAACGCGAAGAACCUUACCUGGUCUUGACAUCCACAGAACUUUCCAGAGAUGGAUUGGUGCCUUCGGGAACUGUGAGACAGGUGCUGCAUGGCUGUCGUCAGCUCGUGUUGUGAAAUGUUGGGUUAAGUCCCGCAACGAGCGCAACCCUUAUCCUUUGUUGCCAGCGGUUAGGCCGGGAACUCAAAGGAGACUGCCAGUGAUAAACUGGAGGAAGGUGGGGAUGACGUCAAGUCAUCAUGGCCCUUACGACCAGGGCUACACACGUGCUACAAUGGCGCAUACAAAGAGAAGCGACCUCGCGAGAGCAAGCGGACCUCAUAAAGUGCGUCGUAGUCCGGAUUGGAGUCUGCAACUCGACUCCAUGAAGUCGGAAUCGCUAGUAAUCGUGGAUCAGAAUGCCACGGUGAAUACGUUCCCGGGCCUUGUACACACCGCCCGUCACACCAUGGGAGUGGGUUGCAAAAGAAGUAGGUAGCUUAACCUUCGGGAGGGCGCUUACCACUUUGUGAUUCAUGC